UAUGAAGGCGGGCUGGAACCUCUCGGGGUUACAGCCUUGCUGAAUUAUUCACCCUUGUCUUUUGCGUACUUCUUGUUUCCUUGGUGGGUUCGCCCACCACUAGGACAAACAUAAACCUUUUGUAAUUGCAAUCAGCGUCAGUAACAAAUUAAUAAUU
rnacentral:misc_RNA from 1 species